UUUAGGAAGAAGCAAACCCCUCGUGAUGAAGCUUUACAGAUCCUCAAACCGCAGAUGGACAACCCUCCUGCUCCACAGCCCAAACGUCCUGCUGCCCCCUCACCAUCUGCGUCUGCAGUGAAAGAGGCGGGAUUUAAACCCAGCAAGAGCACGAAGACAAGGGCACCUAAUCGUCCUCUCCCCAUUCCUCCUCGAGUUUCUCGAGAGCUUCCAGUAGAGACUGAGACCAUCCAGACACAGCUUCAUCAGAGAACCAAUGAAGAACACUACACCUACACCAAUGUUCCCUGGAGACUGUACCUCAGGAAGGAGGUGUGUACAAACAUCACUAUCUGCUGACAGAACUGUGUGUAUCCUGUUCUAUUGUGAGUAUUCUUCUUGCUUUUACAGGUCUUUAAUCCCAAAGACAGCUUCAACAAUCCUCUGGUGCUCGACCUC
rnacentral:lncRNA from 1 species